rnacentral:rRNA from 1 species
GAACAUCGGACAAUGGGCGAAAGCCUGAUCCAGCAAUGCCGCGCGCAGGUUGAAGGCCUUCGGGUUCUAAACUGCUUUUGUACGGAACGACCAGCUUUGGGUUAAUACCCUGGCGUCAUGACGGUACCGUCAGCAUAACCAUCGGCUACCUACGUGCCAGCAGCCGCGGUAAUACGUAGGGUGCAAGCGUUAAUCGGAAUUACUGGGCGUAUAGGGUGCGCAGGCGGUUUUGUAAGACAGAGGUGAAAUCCCCGGUCUCAGCCUGGGAACUGCCUUUGUGACUGCAAGGCUAGAGUACGGCAGAGGGGGGUGGAAUUCCGCGUGUAGAAGUGAAAUGCGUAGAUAUGCGGAGGAACACCGAUGGCGAAGGCAACCCCCUGGGCCUGUACUGACGCUCAUGCACGAAAGCGUGGGGAGCAAAC